UACGUAGGGUGCAAGCGUUAAUCGGAAUUACUGGGCGUAAAGCGUGCGCAGGCGGUUUUGUAAGACCGAUGUGAAAUCCCCGGGCUCAACCCGGGAACUGCGUCCGAUACUGGCAGGCUUGGAAUCCGGGAGAGGGAUGCGGAAUUCCAGGUGUAGCGGUGAAAUGCGUAGAUAUCUGGAGGAACACCGGUGGCGAAGGCGGCAUCCUGGACCGAUAUUGACGCUGAGGCGCGAAAGCCAGGG
rnacentral:rRNA from 1 species